UACGAAGGUCCCAAGCGUUGUUCGGAAUCACUGGGCGUAAAGGGUGCGUAGGCGGUCCGGUAAGUCGGGUGUGAAAUCCCGGGGCUCAACCCCGGAACUGCACUCGAUACUGCCGGGCUCGAGGACUGGAGAGGAGACUGGAAUUCUCGGUGUAGCAGUGAAAUGCGUAGAUAUCGAGAGGAACACUCGUGGCGAAGGCGAGUCUCUGGACAGUUCCUGACGCUGAGGCACGAAGGCCAGGGGAG
rnacentral:rRNA from 1 species